ensembl:lncRNA
GACCUGAUAGGGGAGAAAGCACAAAAAAAAACUCCCGGAAAGAAGCUGAAUUAGUCAUGUGCAUUAAUAAAACUUGAAUUAUGGUUUAAGAAGCAUAUCUUCCUAAAUGAAAUGAAAUUAGAAGAUUACCAUCUUUAUCUGCAUGAACUCUGCAAGAACUUUUGUGUUUUAAGGCUUUUACUGUUGUAGGAUAUUAGAAAUAAACUGACAACCCGGUUCAUAAAAUUAACAAAAAUGCAUAUAGUGUACACCAAAAUACAGCCAUGAUUCUGAAACUGUGUAAUCAAUAAAGUAAUGACCAGUGCUGUAGUAGUAAAAUUAGAGGUGGGUAAACUGAAUUUUGUGAUCAUGCAGACCUCGAUGCGAUGCGAAGCAACGCAACACAAAGCGUUGCGACUCUGUAAGGCUGUCCUGGCUAUAUUGCAUUAUGUUAUCAGUAAAAGUCAUAUACAAUCAAUGACAAUGAAAACAUGUGUUAGUAGUUUGUAGUUUAUUAAAUUUAAGAAAACAGUAAAGAAAAGUAUGUCAACACAACAACACAAUUGCAGAUUAAGAACUAUCUACAUAUGGAGUCUCCUUUUUACAGUAGUGCCCAGAGGGCCUCCUUGUCCUCCACGUCAGGUCCUGCCUUGCUCUGUGCUUCUCUCUCUAUUUGACCUGGUGUUUCUCCUCUCCCUGUGCUCUCUGCAUCAUUGCUGGUGUUUUAAAAUUACACGAAGUUUAUUUCGGAUUAUUCCAACGGAAGAAUACAAGGCGCAGGGAACUUUGAGGUGCGUAAACGCCAAUUAGAGGUGCGUAAACGCUAUUUCCAAAUUCUAGAGGUGCGUAAACGGUGUUUACAUGCGUUUACCCUCCACUACAGCCCUGGUAAUGACAAUAUUGUAAAACCACUGUAAUUCUGCAACUUUAAUAGCAUAAUACCAAUGUACAGUUAUGAUUGUAUUUGAUGUAAUGUAAUCAACUGGAAUGCAUGCAUGUAAUACUUGAACAACAACUGAUAGACAUUAGAUUGACUGAGAGACAUUCGAAAUCCGAGUUACAGUGAACUCACCAGAAGACUCCCAGAGGUGUGGACACUAACUUUCACAACAUUGGUAUAAAUACCUGUAGGAACCAUUGUUCUUGAGUUCACUGGUGGAGACAACAGACGGGCAAUAGGGAUGGUCAAAGGACUGACCUGGGGCCUGUUGGUUGCUGAGACCAGCGGCUCCUCAGCUGAGAUGUUCUUUUUACCACAACACCAUCUCUUUUAUUAAAUACGUUUGAUUUAACCUUUUGAUCCAGGUGACCUCUGUCCAUCCGACGUUUCUUCAUUUUUUAACACAACACUGUCAAGCAGCAAGUUGCUAGGCAGCGGGAGCAGUGGGGGUAAAGCUGAUGAGUCCCCCCUUUACUGUACCAGUGAAGGGGGGGACUGGGUAACCAUGAAGAGAGAGGACUGGUAACCAGUGUAGGGCGAGGACUGGUAACCAGUGAAGAGAGAGGACUGGUUACCAGUGAAGGGGGAGGACUGG